rnacentral:rRNA from 1 species
UACGAAGGGGGCUAGCGUUGCUCGGAAUUACUGGGCGUAAAGCGCACGUAGGCGGCUUUCUAAGUCGGGGGUGAAAUCCUGGAGCUCAACUCCAGAACUGCCUUCGAUACUGGAAAGCUCGAGUCCGGAAGAGGAGAGUGGAAUUCCUGGUGUAGCGGUGAAAUGCGCAGAUAUCAGGAGGAACACCCGUGGCGAAAGCGGCUCUCUGGGACGGUACUGACGCUGAGACGCGAAAGCGUGGGGAGCAAACAGG